GCGGGAGGGGGCGGUGUGGAGUGACGCGCCUGCGCGUGAGGCGCCUGGGAAUCCCCUUACCUUCCACCCGCCCUAGAGAACUGGUGACCCAGGGACGCGAGGCCUGAUGCAGCAAGAGCAACCCUCGCUACCUAUCUCACCCCUUGUCUCUUGGGGCUUCCUGGAGUUGCCUCCCACAUAAACUUCUUAUUCUCAAAUCCUCGUGUCAGACUUUGAUCCAAGGAAAACCCACACUGAGACCAUACUUCACACGGGAGCAAGACUGCCUACCUAGAGUGUCUUUCCUGGAUGGACUGAGGGGUGAGUGAAGAGGUGCACACGGAGAGUGUGGAGUCUGUGGGGAGGUAGCGCUGAGUAGCUGAAAAGACAAAAUGAUAGCAGGUGGGGGAGGUCCCGGGCCUGGUCGGGACAUGGCAGCCUGGAGUCUUGAUUUUGGAAGCUGCUUAGGGUGGGGACAUGCGUGCAACCUCACACAGGGGUCAGUAAUUAGAGUAGUCCCAUCUCCUCCCCAAAAAACUUAAAACACAGUUUAGCUGGGGCCAUGAUUUCAUUUUAUGAGGUAAUUUAUUACAUAGAAAAACAAUCAUCCAUAGUUUGAAAUGAAUAUUUACACUGUAUUUUUGUGGAAAUGUUUUCAUACAUACAGACUGGGGAGCAUGAGAAGGUGUGAAGUCACCCGAGAGAAUGGUGCAGUGCUGGGCUGUAGCCAGGGCCACUGAGGCUAAGCUGGAAGACCAGCCUCCUGGCCAGCACAGGGCAGGGAUGAAAGAUGUCAGGACAACGCUGUUUCUGACAAGGUGCAGCAUUUCAAUAGGUCUUGUUCUCAAACAAAACAUGUCCAAUCAUUUGAGUUUGUUAUUGUCUCAAGUUUUUGUUUCACUUUUUUUAACACCAAUUUUUCUAGUCAGUAGUUAAUUAUAUGUAUGAACAUAUAUUGCCAUUUUCUGUGCUCACUUUUAUUUUUUACUUAUUUAUUUUUUGAGACAGGGUCUUACUCUAUCACCUGGGUUGUGGUCCAGCGGCACCUCCAACUCGUAGCCUCAGGCAACCCUCCUGCCUCACCCUCCCAAGUAGCUGUGAAAAAAAUGAAAAAAUUUAGCUGAAAGAACACCCAGCUAAGUUUUUUUCAUUUUUUGUAGAGCAGCAUCUUGCUUUGUUGCUCAGGCUGGCCUCAAACUCCUGGCCUCAAGAAAGCUGUGGCUCUGGCCUCCUAAAGCUCUGGGUUUCAGGCGAGCUCACUGUACCUGACCUGGUGAUCACUUUUAAUUUGGUUAAAAUGCACCCUUCAGUGCUCAUUCUGGCAAGUGUUCUUGGGUGAUUGUAAUCUAAGUCUAUGACUGAAUGAACAGUCUUUUUUUUUUUUUUUUUUUUUUGCAGUUUUUGACUGGGGCUGGGUUUGAACCCGCCACCUCCAGUAUAUGGGACUGACACCCUUCCCCUUUGAGCCACAGGUGCUGCCCAUGAACAGUCUAUUUAGAUCUAAUUCUGGAAUGGUGGUUUGUUGGAAAAAGAGUUCCUUGUUGACAGGUGUUUUCUGUUGGAAUCGUUCAGACCUUGUUCUGCGGCUGCUGGUGCCGCUGGUGAGGAGUUUGCUGCCCAUCAACUUACGCUUUCCAUGCAGGAAAUCUGUCUUCUCUUUCUCAUCCUUGUUCUGAAAUUUAACUGCAGUAUUUCUGAGUGCACAUUUAUUUUUAGUUUUGCUGCUGGCACUCGAUGUUACCUUUCUGUCUGAGAUCACGGACCUUCUGUCCUGCACACCAGUCAGUGUCCAUUCUCAUGGUCCCUCUGCACCCUGCCUGGAGCCCGUCUUACCCUGGGUCACCUACAAGGGGGAGGUUGAAACCACUCAAUCUACUGUCAUGUCUGAAAACAGCUUUUCCUCACAUUUAUCUGUCUUCUCCUGGGUAAACCAUCUUCUAGUUCACUAAAUCUCUUCACUGGGGUCCAAUUAGAAUUUUUAAAUUAUCUAUUGCAGCCGUGCAUGGAGAGAAUUGUGAGAGGGGCUCUAAACAUGAACUUGGAGUACUGUCUUGCCCAGAGAAGAAGUAAUGAUUUUUAAUAAAGGGAAAUAAAAGUUUUACUCUGUUUUCUGUUUAAUACUUUAUUAUGAAACUGCCAUGAAUUAGGUUUGAUGUUUUCCCAAUAGUUAGUAUUCUUACACGUCAAAAGAAAAGCAAUUGAAUUUUUAAAAAAGCUUUAUAGAAAGUUGGAGAUAAGGAUAAUAAGCAUGUCUGGCUAAGUUUCACAGGUUUCCAAAUGGCCUAAAGUGACUUUCUGGAAGAUGUUCAAGUUGCCUCAAGCAGCUGGUUCUUCUGGUGCUCUACUGUGCUGUCAUCGUGAAAUGUGACAACUGACAAUGUGAAACUCUGUCCCUUGGACUGCAAAGCAAAGAUGACCUCCAUUUCCAUGUAACUUCCUCUGAGCACAGCACAGGACAGCACUGUGUCAAAGAGUGAGAAAUCCUUCUCCGGCACGCGCUGUGAGCUUCUGUGGGUCCUACCGUAACAACAGCAGAAAUGGCAAAGGGGCAAGAUUCCUUCUGGCUGCCCAGUGACUUGUGGCUCUUUUGAGUGCACGUCUGUGGUAAUCCUGGGCUGGUCACCCGGACUCCGUGCUCCCCGAAGCACAAGGCUCCAAGGACACAAUGGGAAUGCUACUAGUCACGUCAGGAAGAGAGUACCAGAAAGGACAUCACUGCGGGCACCAGGGAAGUGGCUGGGCACGAGCUAAUGCAGUGGCCAACACCUAAAAGGAAAGGUAUGUGUGCCAAGCCGUGAGGAGCUUUCAGUCCAGUCACCAGACAGGCGCACAAGGGCCACAAAUGUCAAUUCCCAAACCUGUCUCGUUCAGGCACAAAAGAAGAUCUUGGGUAAAACCGUGUUCACCUCCAUUGCUGCCAUGUUCGUGGAUGGCGUGCUGGACGAGCUCUACGGAGUGACCAGGACUGUCAACCUCCUGGGCAGGAAGGAGGCAGGGAAGAGCAGGAGAGCCUCACCAAGACAGCCACCAAGCCAGCUGUUCUUGACUGGAAUAGCUGGUUUAAUCACCUAGCUGGCGCCCAUGGGGGAAUUUAGGGAGAAAGUGCACAACCUGCUAUGACCACAGUCAGUUUGCCCCCGUGGUUACUGCUCUGGCGGGACUGCGCGGUCCAGGCUGCAGGAAUGAAUGUGGAUGUGCACCCGCUCACCAUUCCGCAUCACCCCGCCCAGCCCACACAGACAGGAUGCCACAUCUCUGAUUGUUUUUCAGAUUGUUCAUGUUUUGCUGCCUGUGUAAUCCCUUUGGAAAUUUUAAAUGCUACCCACAAGAGCUUUGUGGUGGCGUCAACGAAAUGUUAAAUGAAGAAAACAUGUGAACACGUGAAUCAAGAUUGUGACUGAUGCUGAUUUAUUUGAAGAUGGACACUGCGCAAUUAUGAAGAAAAAAUGAUUUUCUAAAGAUUACACAUAUUGUAGAAAGACUUUGCCCAAUUCAAUUGUCCGACAUUAAAGAGAGUGCUUUUAUGAGUCUUGUUUUAUCUGAAGAAAAGCAUAUUGCCAAAAAUUCUGGUUAAACCUUCCUCAUGGGUAACUGAUCAUAGGACAGACAGGAAUGCAAAUGUAGAGUCACACAAAAAUGGGGACGGCUCCAGACCUAAGACGUAUUUUAGGGCAGUUGUGUUGGUGACACUUUGGAUAUGUCUAACAAUACAAAGCCAUGUAUUUUGAUUUACUUUUCCCCUCUAUGUAUUUAUCCCUCUUUUAAAAA